rnacentral:lncRNA from 1 species
GGAGCACACAAGACACUUUCACCUCCCUCCAUCCACACUUUGGUGUUUACUUAUGGACAGGAGAUUAUGGAUUAGGGAUUGUAGACGCCUCCCAAAUCCCUGAGGAGAACAAGUUCUUGGGGGACAUGUGCUGGAGGACAAGGACUGUGGCCACCUAACCCCCAGCCCCAGAUAGGUGCUGGUGCUCCCCACCCAAACCCUCCUGAUGCACCCCAUUGACAAUCCUUUGCAGCCACCAAGGCACGCUCAUCCCCACUAGCUUUCACAACGGGGCUUGCCAACCUCCACAACGAUCUACGCACAGUGAUUUGUGAUGUACUGAAACACAGUUUACAUUGCAAAAAGCUCUAAUAUGUCCCUGGAAAGCAAUUAAGAGAGAGUUGCAUAUGAGCGUUAAGAGUUUUGCUUCACGAGCAGAUGUCCUCUUGGCGGAUGCGCCUCCGACCCCUCGCUCCAGCAAGCCUUGCUCCACCUUGGAGCUGCAGCAAGGAGAGGGGCCGUCGUGCUCCUGCUUAGCCAGGCUGACUUUUACGAGGCCUUUCUCCGGAAAUAAGAAGUAUGGUAAAGCGAGGUGAUCUUCCCCCGCGGCUGCUGGUGUGGAUUAUGGAGCUGGCAGCAGCAGGAACGCAUUAAGGAAAGCUCCCAGCAAUGGCUUUCCAGAAAGGUCUUCGGAAGCCUCCCCCUGCUGCCUUCAUGCCGGCAGCAUCAUUUUUCAAGGCCCUCUCCCCGUUCUGGCGGGACACGGAUACGGGAGGCUUUGUGCAGACCUGAUGCCCGGGCAGGAGGCGCCUCUGCUGCAGCCGCAGCCCUGUUGGGUUGGAUCCCAUCCCUGCGGGCAUGGGGUGGAAUGAUGCUGGUGGCAGUCCCAAACAUCUGGGAGUCUCACAGGACCCAAAUAGGAACCUUACGAGCCGUCACAUCCUAUUUACGGACAAGGCGCAGAAGAAGUUGCCUACAGCUGACAAAUAAACCUUGGAGUGUCAAUGACUUCUGCUUUUGCCAGUGAUUCAAAGUCACCCUAAAGCUAGACCAUCAAAGCUGGUUAAGGGUUCAGUAACUCACGUAGACACAAAAAAGGCUGGGCUGGGUUUCAUCCCGUUGGACUUGAGGUGUCCACUUUUAGAGUGUCCCUGCCAGUGGAGCAAAACAGGCACCUUUGAGGACAAUUCAUCUGAAUUAACUUGAGGUUUUAUAGGAUAAGUUUUACCACGUGCUGUAAGGAGAUGAACGUGACCACGCAGCUCUUGUGUCCAUAGCCAAACUCCUCUUUCUGUCCCAUGACUCAAGCCUAGAGGAGGAGAGGAGGAUCCCCUGGCCAGCCAGUCCCUUUGAUCAUACAGGGCUUCUACAGCCCUUUCCACAAACACCUCUGAAUCAGGGAACUGGAAGAAAUAAUGUGAUUUUUCUCAGCUUUUUGACAACCUCUAAACACCAGAAAGAGACUGAAAUCCAAAAUGAGGGAUGAAAGCUGCCUUGAGAUUCUCAUAUGCUCCUGCCUCUGCCUAGCAAGCAAGCGGUACGCCUGACCUUUUGCUGAGGUACACGGGCAUUUUGCCAGCCAGUAAAGUCAAGUUUCAACAAUUAACUUUCAGUAGUGGAGGUUCUGGAUAGAAGUACUCAACUUUAAUCCCAGAUAAUGCGUGACAACUUUCGGUGCACUCAUUCCAAAUGUUUAAUGGGUUUCAGUAUUUCCUAUAGCUCUAUAAUAUCUCCCACAAAAAUAUAAAUAAUCUCUGUGGUAUAGAAGAGAGAAAAGACUUGAAAUUUUGACUAUAGGAGAAAUAAAAACAUCUCCUUGUUACCUCUUGGUUUCA